rnacentral:rRNA from 1 species
CAUGCAAGUCGAACGGAGCACCCUUGACUGAGGUUUCGGCCAAAUGAUAGGAAUGCUUAGUGGCGGACUGGUGAGUAACGCGUGAGGAACCUGCCUUCCAGAGGGGGACAACAGUUGGAAACGACUGCUAAUACCGCAUGACGCAUGACCGGGGCAUCCCGGACAUGCCAAAGAUUUAUCGCUGGAAGAUGGCCUCGCGUCUGAUUAGCUAGUAGGCGGGGUAACGGCCCACCUAGGCGACGAUCAGUAGCCGGACUGAGAGGUUGACCGGCCACAUUGGGACUGAGAUACGGCCCAGACUCCUACGGGAGGCAGCAGUGGGGAAUAUUGGGCAAUGGGCGCAAGCCUGACCCAGCAACGCCGCGUGAAGGAAGAAGGCUUUCGGGUUGUAAACUUCUUUUGUCAGGGAACAGUAGAAGAGGGUACCUGACGAAUAAGCUCCGGCUAACUACGUGCCAGCAGCCGCGGUAAUACGUAGGGAGCGAGCGUUGUCCGGAUUUACUGGGUGUAAAGGGCGUGCAGCCGGGCUGGUAAGUCAGAUGUGAAAUCCGUGGGCUUAACCCACGAACUGCAUUUGAAACUGCUGGUCUUGAGUACCGGAGAGGUUAUCGGAAUUCCUUGUGUAGCGGUGAAAUGCGUAGAUAUAAGGAAGAACACC